rnacentral:tRNA from 2 species
GGAGAGGUGACCGAGCGGCUUAAGGUAACGGUUUGCUAAACCGUCGUAUCUCUAAUAGGGGUACCGGGGGUUCGAAUCCCCCCCUCUCCG